UGAAGACGACGACGUUGAUAGGCCAGGUGUGUAAGCGCAGCGAUGCGUUGAGCUAACCGGUACUAAUGAACCGUGAGGCUUAACCUU
rnacentral:rRNA from 1 species